rnacentral:rRNA from 1 species
GACGAACGCUGGCGGCGCGCUUAACACAUGCAAGUCGAACGGAAAGGCCUGCUUUCCCUUGUGGAUUGCGGGUACUCGAGUGGCGAACGGGUGAGUAACACGUGAGUGAUCUGCCCCCAACUUGGGUAUAAGCCUGGGAAACUGGGUCUAAUUCCCGAUAGGACUGCAGGGUGGUGCCUGUGGUGGAAAACGAUUUUCUAGUGGUUGGGGAUGAGCUCGCGGCCUAUCAGCUUGUUGGUGGGGUAAUGGCCUACCAAGGCGGCGACGGGUAGCCGGCCUGGGAGGGUGGACGGCGACAGUGGGACUGAGAUACGGCCCAGACGCCUACGGGAGGCAGCAGUGGGGAAUAUUGCACAAUGGGCGGAAGCCUGAUGCAGCGACGCCGCGUGGGGGAUGACGGCCUUCGGGUUGUAAACUCCUUUCGACCGCGAGGAAGCCACCUGGUUGGAAGGGUGGUGACGGUAGUGGUAGAAGAAGCACCGGCUAACUACGUG